UCGUUCAUACUACAGUGGCCACACCAGAUCCCAUCAGAACUCUGAAGUUAAGCACUGUAAGGCUUGGCUAGUACUGAGGUGGGAGACCGC
rnacentral:rRNA from 3 species